UCCCUAGUGGUCUAGUGGUUAGGAUAUGUGGCUUUCACCCACAGGGCCCGGGUUCGAUUCCCGGCUAGGGAA
rnacentral:tRNA from 1 species